UCAAAGAACCCCAAGAAUUCAAUUUUUGUUAAAAUCAAACUAAGUUUAAUUUUGGACCCUUUGGACCUCAAUGAAGACCAAUUUAAAUAAAAUGCUUCGCUGGGGCGCAGCUUGAUACGACCGCAGAGGUCGAACCCUGAACAGUUGGGGCAAGUAUGGACACAAAAUUCAAGCUUGAUACAGCUAUGACUUUGGAUUGUCAUUAAAUAUUUGACACAGCAUAGGUUUCUGACACAGGAUGAAUGUGGUGUAAGAACUGGAAAAAAUUUAAUUUACCUAUUAUGGUGGAAUAUCCAUAAACUAAAUUGUUUGUUAAUUUCAAUAUAUCAAAGAAUAUGUAGAAUUCAAUGUUUGAUGUAAUGUAAUAAAGUUGAAAUUUGGACCGUUUUUGUUCAAUGUGGACCAAUUUGGUAACAUGUAUAAAUAAUCAAAAAUCUAAAUACAUGGGAGCCCAUUUAAAUACAUCAUAAAGGUAUUAAAAUAGAAAGUGACAUCAUAGUCAUGGCUAAAAAUAAACAAAAAUCCUUAAUCAGCAACAUUUAAAGUAAUAUCUAAAAAUAAAAUUCCUUUGUAACCAUAAAAGCCCAUUUAAAUACAUCAUAAAGAUAUUAAAAUAGAAAAUGACAUCAUAGUCAUGGCUAAACAUAGCAAAAAACCCUUAAUCAGCAUCAUUUAACAGUAAUAUCUAAUAAAAUGCUUCGCUGGGCGCAGCUUGAUACGACCGCAGAGGUCGAACCCUGAACAGUUGGGGCAAGUAUGGACACAACAUUCAAGCUUGAUACAGCUCUGAAUUUGGAUUGUGAUUAAAUAUUUGACACAGCAUAGGAUUCUGACACAGAAAGAAUGUGGUCUAAGAACUUGAAUUUUUUUAAUUUACCUAUUAUGGUCCAAUGUCCAAAAUCAAAAUACAUGGUUAGAUUCAGCAUAUCAAAGAACCCCAUAUUUUCAAUUUUUGUUGAAAUCAAACAAAGUUUAAUUUUGGACCCCAACUUGGACAAACUUGAAAACUGGGCCCAUAAUCAAAAAUCUAAACACAUGUUUAGAUUCAGCAUAUCAAAGAACCCCAAUAAUUCAAUUUUUGCUAAAAUCAAACUAAGUUUAAUUUUGGACCCUUUGGACCUUAAUGUAGACCAAUUUAAAAAACGGGACUAAAAAUUAAAAAUCUAAAUACACGGUUAGAUUUGGAAUAUCAAAGAACCCCGAUAAUUCAAUUUUUGAUGAAAUCAAACAAAGUUUAAUUUUAGACCCUUUUGACCUCAAUAUGAACCAAUUUGAUAGCGGGGCCCACAAAUAAAAAAUCUAAAUACAUGGUUAGAUUCAGCAUAUCAAAGAACCUCAUAUAUUCAAUUUUUGUUGAAAUCAAACAAAGUUUAAUUUUGGACCCCAAUUUGGACCAACUUGAAAACUGGGCCAAAAAUCAAAAAUCUAAAUACAUGUUUAGAUUCAGCAUAUCAAAGAACCUCAUAUAUUCAAAUUUUGCUAAAAGCAAACAAAGUUUAAUUUUGGACCCUUUGGACCUUAAUGUAGACCAACUUGAAAACUGGACCCAAAAUUAAAAAUCUAAAUACACUGUUAGAUUUGGCAUAACAAAUAAAUAAAUGUGAUCAAAGAUUUUACAAAUCUAAUGCGCCAUACUGUGCAAUUAAAGAUUACU